UUGAAGUGUUAUAGCCUCUGGUAGAUGUGGUGACUGGAACUGAGGAUUGCAACAAAUAUCCUUUGAGCUAUCCGUCUGAUCUC
rnacentral:rRNA from 1 species